rnacentral:lncRNA from 1 species
UUGGCUGAAAGAUUUAUGGGCUGCUGUGUUGAUUUAUUCCUGCUAAAGUUAAUUAUUAUUGAAAGCUCUCUCUCUCUCUCUCACUCACUUUCUCACUCACUCUCUCUCCAUCCCUCUGUCCCUCUGCAGAAGCUGAAGGCGAGAGCGAGGUUACUGUCUCCUGAUAUCCGUCAGAUUGAUCUGGAUGUGAACCGGACCUACAGAGACCACAUCAUGUUCAUGCACCGCUAUGACGUAAAGCAGCAGGACCUGUUCCACGUCCUCACGGCGUACUCCAUGUAUAACAGGGAAGUGGGAUACUGUCAGGGAAUGAGUCAGAUCACAGCUCUCCUCCUGAUCUAUAUGAAUGAAGAGGAUGCGUUUUGGGCUCUGGUCAAACUACUGUCUGGACACAGGCACACCAUGCACGGAUUUUUUGUGGAUGGUUUUCCAAAGCUCUUACGCUUCCAGGAGCACCACGACCGCAUCCUGAAGAAGAUGAUGCCCAAGCUGAAGCAGCAUCUAGACAGUCAGGAGGUUUUCACCAGCCUGUACACCAUGAAGUGGUUCUUUCAGUGCUUUCUGGACCGUACCCCAUUCACAUUAACCCUUAGGAUAUGGGACAUUUACAUCCUGGAGGGGGAGCGAGUUCUGCCUGCCAUGUCCUACACCAUCCUCAAACUGCACAAAAAAACGCUGUUGAAGCUGUCUAUGGAGGAUCUGGUGGAGUUCCUGCAGGUGACUCUGUCGAAGGAAUUCUUCUUUGAAGAUGAUUUUGUAGUCGAGCAGCUCCAGAACAACAUGACUGAACUCAGACGCUCCAAACUCGAGCUUCCUCCAGCAGGUAAAGAUGAUGAGUUUCCGAAGAAGCCAUUGGGUCAGCUACCCCUGGAUCCGGCAGAAGCUGCCAAUCACGUUGCUAACGGGCAGAUGCCAGCCAGGCAGACGGUGGCAGACGGGCCGUCUGUUUUAGGCAUAGAAACGGGCGAAACUGCGAAUGGCUCACCAGAUCCCCACAGAGACAGUCGGCCGGCCAGCCGCGCUGGGAAAGACAGAGACUCUGCGGACAAAAUAAGCCGAACGGGGAAAGGCGAUAAACGAGAGGGGCGGAAAGGAGCUUCGGUGAUGCCGGCAACCCUGGGAACAGGCCUAACACCUGAGAAACACGGGCCCAACCAUGCUGGAGCCAAUCACAACUCAAACGCCGGCUCAAGCGGGCGCAAAGACGUCAUCACACCCCGCUGGGUCAAACCUUCGGAGAGCAAGCUGGAGCAGGCCAAAGCUGCUGCCUUGAGAGAGAGCCAGCAGAGCCUGACCACUGUCGUUCCUCCGUCACCCACCAUCAAGGUCCCUGACGAACAACAGCAGCAGCAGCUGCAGCAGCAACAGCAGCGACAACCCAGGUCUAGAGGUUUCACCCCUGGCUCCAACCGUGCCUCCAACGCCUCUCAAUACGACAACGUCCCAGGACCCAACGGAGAUUUCACUGAUGUUCCAGAGGUGGAACCAGACCGGCCACCUUCUCGUCCGUAUGGCUCUAAACAGGGAAGCCCAACAAGGCCCCCUAGUGGUGGAAUGGGAAUCUCCGCCCCGUCGUUCCGAGUCCCAAAACACACUCCAAUCCCACCCACCUCCGACAUCCGCCCACCAAUACACUACACUCCUGGCAUGACCCCUGUCUACUCCCCUUAUACAUCCAAAGUGCGCCCCCCAGAGGACAGAGGGUACGGGAUGACGUACGGCGAAAGGGCAUACAGUACCACGUCCCGAAUUUCGCCUGAGAAAAUAAAUCGCUCGCCAGAAAAAGGGCCGAUGAACAACAGCUAUGCUACCUACCGACAUCAAGCUAGAGAUGUUACCCCACUCCACGUGGCUCCUGCUGACUUUGGAGCUCGAAUGGACAACGUUGGAGCCAGGAUGGACAAUUUUGGAGGCCGAAUGGACCAUGUUGGACCCCGCAUUGACACUAUUGGACCUCGUAUGGACAAUUUUGGAGCCAGAAUAGAAAAUGUUGGAGGCCGUAUGGACAACAUUGGACCCCGAAUGGAUAAUAUGAGACUCCGAAUGGAAAACACCGGAGCAAGGAUGGACAGCACCAGCGAAAUCGGACACCACCCGAGACAGCCAACGCGGCUUUUAGGGUCCCCUGCUUUCACGCCAGCCGAGCAGCGAUUCGAAAGGCAGCGGCGAGGUGAAGGCUGGUAUGGAGAGAUGGCGGAGGGAGUGAUGGUGGGGCCUCUGCAUUCUCCAGGUGGGUUACCCCGCUCGCCCAGCUUCCAGAAAGCCCAGAUGUCUCCCGUCCACCCGGUCCAAGAGUUCACCUUCCCACCUGUGGGUGUCCCACGGCCCACUCUGUUUGGAGGAUCUCACUACAGACAGGCUCAGGAAGCCUUUGCCCUACAGGAAACCAUGCUGCUCUGAGAGACAGUAAGACAGACGCAGGUGCUGUGUCCCAAUUCUACACUAACAACGAGGCAGUCAGGAAGCCAGAUCUAUACCUAUACCAGACCUAUACAUUGCUUAAUCUAAUUAAAUUAAAAAUAUAUAUGAAAAUUUCACACUGAAAUGUGUUUCACAAGGAAAAUCAAGUGGGAAUAAGGGCAGAAAACUGUUAACCCAGAUUUAGAAUAUAAGGAGGUUUAGGAGAUCCUAUAAAAUUGUGUUAUUUACACUAUUAUGUACUGUUGCUAUAAUGUUAAUUAAAACAAGGGAUGAUAUGGAUUUGUUAUGCAAACUUUGAUCCUAUGAACUACAUUGAAUCUACCAAAUAUUUUUUCUCCUUGAAAAGUUUGAUGAACUUUGAAAGUUUGAAAGUUACAAGAAACAGAGUAACGGCCAAAACAGACCUAAAUACAAUGCCAAGCUGAAGCACAUAAAAAAAGCAAUGUUUUGUUUCUUACUGUUAUCAAACAGUAGGUUUACUUAUUGUAGAUUUAUUUAUUACGCUGACGUGUAAUCCCCUACAAACUGGCCUUUUUGUGUUUUUUUAUU